rnacentral:rRNA from 1 species
GAUGAACGCUAGCUACAGGCUUAACACAUGCAAGUCGAGGGGUAACGAGAGGAAAGCUUGCUUUCCUUGUCGACGACCGGCGCACGGGUGAGUGACGCGUAUCCAACCUGCCCCCAACUAAGGAAUAACCUUGCGAAAGUAAGAUUAAUACCUUAUAAUUUCCUCAGAUGUCAUCUGACGAGGAAUAAAGAUUUAUCGGUUGUGGAUGGGGAUGCGUCUGAUUAGCUUGAUGGCGGGGUGACGGCCCACCAAGGCAACGAUCAGUAGGGGUUCUGAGAGGAAGGUCCCCCACAGUGGAACUGAGACACGGUCCAAACUCAUACGGGAGGCAGCAGUGAGGAAUAUUGGUCAAUGGGCGGAAGCCUGAACCAGCCAAGUAGCGUGCAGGAGAACGGCCCUAUGGGUUGUAAACUGCUUUUAUACAGGAAUAAAGUUAGCCACGUGUGGUUAUUUGUAGGUACUGUAUGAAUAAAGACCGGCUAAUUCCGUGCCAGCCGCCGCAGUAA